GGCACUGGGGGCACACUGCCUAUAGCUACUGCCUGUUGCUGCAAGUGUGGGGAGGGAGAGUGGACUCAAGGCAGCAGGGCUGGAGGAGGCGGGGACGCAUGGGGAUGUGCCUGUGCCUGGCCUAAUCUCACGGCUACAAUUUUUCUGGGUCAGUGUGGAUUUGAGCAAAUUGAUAAACACACAUACACAUGCAUCCGUGUGCGGCUGUUCCUGGUACACACAUACGCAUGCACACAUGGCUGAUCCUGGUCCCCCACCCAGGCGCAGCUGGAGGGGGGAAUGGUAGGGGGGGAGGGCAGUGUCAGGCCCAGGCCAAGAGUCUGAGCAUGAACUCUGGAGUGGUUCUGACAUAUCUUGAAUAACCAAGCUCCGUCCAGCCUCUCCCAAACUCCCCGCCUAACACCACCCCCACUGCUGCCUGGCACUGCUCCCACUGCACUAGACACAGGCAGCUUGGUGCGCCCGCAGACAGGCGCACAGCUAGACAGACACACAGCCCAGCAUGUCAGACAGUCCCAGCACAGGGGAGGCUCUCAAGGACGAGACCCCCGACGCACCCAACGGGAAGCCACCCUGUGCCGAACUCAAAACAGCCAUGGAGAAAUGUGUGAAGGAGAAGGGAGAGGACUCAUGCAAGGAGCUGCUGGAAUCAUACCACAAGUGUCUGCAUGCCCUGGGGAUCAAAACCUAAAAGGACCCCCCGUGGUCCUGGUGUGGCCGAGUGGCACGUGGCCCCCUGCUGUCCUCUCCUCAAGGGGUCACAGUGGGGGCCAGCUACAAGAACAAAGGGCUGGAGUGCAAGGAGCAGUGCAAUACCAAGAAAAGGUGGCAGCUGUGGAUUGGGGCCAUGGAGGUCCCCACUGCAAUAAAAUCUAUACAUUUUAACCUGG